rnacentral:rRNA from 1 species
UACGGAGGAUGCGAGCGUUAUCCGGAUUUAUUGGGUUUAAAGGGUGCGCAGGCGGUCUGUUAAGUCAGCGGUCGAAAGCCCCGGGGCCUCAACCCCGGCGAGCCGUUGAAACUGGCAGUCUCGAGUUGGAGAGAAGUAUGCGGAAUGCGUGGUGUAGCGGUGAAAUGCAUAGAUAUCGCGCAGAACCCCGAUUGCGAAGGCAGCGUACCGGCGCCCCAACUGACGCUGAGGCACGAAAGCGUGGGGAUCGAACAGG